rnacentral:rRNA from 1 species
AGCAGCCGCGGUAAUUCCAGCUCCAAUAGCGCAUAUUAAAGUUGUUGUGGUUAAAAAGCUCGUAGUUGAACCUUGGGCCUGGCUGGCCGGUCCGCCUCACCGCGUGUACUGGUCCGGCCGGGCCUUUCCCUCUGUGGAACCCCAUGCCCUUCACUGGGUGUGGCGGGGAAACAGGACUUUUACUUUGAAAAAAUUAGAGUGCUCCAGGCAGGCCUAUGCUCGAAUACAUUAGCAUGGAAUAAUAGAAUAGGACGUGUGGUUCUAUUUUGUUGGUUUCUAGGACCGCCGUAAUGAUUAAUAGGGACAGUCGGGGGCAUCAGUAUUCAAUUGUCAGAGGUGAAAUUCUUGGAUUUAUUGAAGACUAACUACUGCGAAAGCAUUUGCCAAGGAUGUUUUCAUUAAUCAGGAACGAAAGUUAGGGGAUCGAAGACGAUCAGAUACCGUCGUAGUCUUAACCAUAAACUAUGCCGACUAGGGAUCGGACGAUGUUAUUUUUGACUCGUUCGGCAC